AUUUAUAAGUUGGAGAUACAAUCACAGUAAUGUUAAACAUAUAAAGACAUAAACCUUGAAUGGUUACAGCGGCCCAAGCGGACAAACUAGUUUACAGAUCGGAUCAUUUUUUAUUUACCAUUUACAAACUAUAGUCCGUAAUAAUACGGACCUAAAAAAAACGAAGCGGACUAAGCGCGGACCAUAUUUAAAAUAAGUUCACAACGGUUUGUUGUCCGCCCCAAAAAUAGUAUGGACUGGAUUGCUGACGGAUUAGUCCGCACUAACUACAACAUCUAUUUCAAAGCCAUAUAUUUGUAGAUAAUUAGAUGUCAAAAAUAUGUAU
rnacentral:sRNA from 1 species